rnacentral:lncRNA from 12 species
GCACGCGCGGCCGCCGCUUCCGCCGCUUCCGCCGCUUCCGCCGCGUCACUCUCCCCCGCGAAACGCGUUUCCACGCUGAGGAGAAACCCGAGAAGCGGCCUUGGGGUGCCGGGUCCACGCGGGGUGGGGCAGCCGCGGAAACGCCCGGCGGCCCGCGGUCACCCAGGGCUGCGCUCUGCCCGUGUCGGUCGCCCUCGUGUCUCUCCGUCCCCGCGGGCAACGGCCGAGGGCGCCACCCGCAGCCUCCGGGAGCCGGGCCCCUCCGGCCAUUCUCGGCCCACGCCCUCGGACGUCCGCCUGCUCCUGCUCCGUCGGCUUCUUCGUCGCUGGCGGCCCCGCAAGGCCGCGGGGCCCGCGUCACGGGGUCCCGGGAGCUGCCCGCGCCGGGCGGGCGGGCGGAGGCCCCAACGCCGAGGCCCCGACGCCGCCACCUGCUGCUCGGCCGCGUCGCCCGGAGCGGGAGGGACGGAGGGAGGCCCAGGGUCGGGGAGCAGCGGCCACCACCCCACGGGCCCACGCGAGCAGGCGGGCCGCGCCGAGGACGCCCGGCGACGAGAGCCCCGCGGACCGCGAGGCGGGGACACGAGGAGCGGCCAUGGGGCCGCGGCCGACGGGACUGCUCGCCCCCCGCCUCCGCGCGCCGCGCCGGCCGAAGCCUCAGGCCUCCCCGGGUGGGCCUGCCGGGCGCGGCCCCUUUGCCGCCGCCAUAGGGGCCCGCGGCCUACCUGCCACGCGGCGCCGGGCCUACCUCACCUGAGGCGGCUCCGGGCUCCCCCCCCGAGGCGGCACCGGGCCUCCCCGCAGGCAGCGCCGGGCCUUCUCCCCCCCACCCCCCCGCAGCGCCGGGCCUGCCCCCCUGAGGCGGCGCCAGCCCCCCCCGCCCCCGGGCUGGGCCCAGCACCUGCACCCGCCCCCUGCGGGACCCGGCGCAGCAGUAGGCCGGCAGGGCGGGGGCGGCCGCAGGUGCCCAGGUGCACAGGUGCACAGGCGGCGGCUUCCUGCCGGGCACAGACACCGGGGCUGCGGCGCAGGACGGGGCGGCGGGCCUCUGGGAGCCUCGAGGCCGACAAGGGCUGCCCCGCCUCCUUCCAAGGCCGUGGGCGCUUCCUUCCAGGGCCGGGGGUCCCGGACCUCGGGGGUCCUCGUCCGCAGCGCCCAGCCCGCAGCCGCCGGUCCUUAGGCGCCGCCGCGGCCCAGGGAGGCCCGAGGCCCAGGGAGGGCCCGAGGGAACAAUGGAGCCCGGAGCCGCGGCCGCCGAGGGGGAGCGGGCCAGGGGCCGGGGGAGGCGGAGUCAAGGGCCGCGGCGGCCGGUGGGCAUGGAGGGCGGGGCCUGCGCCCCGGGGUGCCCUGCCCUCCGCGCGCUCCGCCCGCACCCCUACCUGCACCUGCUGCACAGCGCGGGGAGCAGCGCCGGCCGCCACCUGCCCUCGCCGCCCACCUGCCCUCGCGGCCCACCUGCCCUCGCAGCCCACCUACCCUCGGUGCGCCCCACCCGCGCCCCUACCUGCACCUGCUGCACAGCGCGGGGAGCAGCGCCGGCUGCCACCCGCCCUCGCCGCCCACCUGCCCUCUGCCGCAGCCCGGCCGCAGCUGGCCACGGGGUGGGAUGAGAGAGUCCACGCCGGAAAAGGCCCAUCUGCCUUGACCACAAAGUCCUUCAGCAGCCGCCGAGCCUUUCGGUGCCGCCCUGAUGCUGCUCCAGGUCUGAUUGCUAGGAUCUCCUUAUUACCUGGGUGGAGCCAUUACGUCGACAGGUCGAAAGGAUUUUUUUUCCCCAGGAGGAUGCAGGAAUCAGAUCCACUGUGUAUCUUAUUAAUAAGUCAGACAACGUGA